rnacentral:lncRNA from 1 species
GUGUUUCAUGAAUUUCAUGAUGUCAGUUUAAUGAUUUUUCAAUAUUUAUUAGAAUCUAAAUAUUUUUAGGUUAAAAUGUUCAUAAAAUUAAAUUAGGAUAGUCUACAUAUUUUUUUUUAAAAUUAUCCUAAAUUCAUUGUUUAAGAAUCUCAGACUAAAAUUUUAACCUAGAAAGGUUGGAGUAUAAAAAUUGUUUUUGGGUUAAAAUCUAAACUGUCUGGGUUAACAAAUUUAGGUUUUAACCCAAGAGUUGGAGAUGAUCUUAUAACAGUAACAAGUUGGAACAUUAAUUUUGGAGAUCCAAUUAGUGAUAUUUACUGAUAAAAAAAAAGAAAAAUUAAUGAAAAAGGCUUGAAAACUUUGAAUGUUAACAAAAAACCAUGUACUAACUUUAUUUAAUGAUUAGGACAAAGACCAACAUUAAAUUAGUCCAAUUAAUAUGGCCCAAACAAUGAGUUUCCGAUUUUGCCCCUAAAGGCAUUCGUCCAAUCUUACAGAUCUCUCUGCUAUGCUCUGUCUCCC